GUUUCUGUAGUUGAACAACAACAGUAGUUUUUCAGAUUACAAGUUUAGGUUGAAGUCCUGGCAGAAAUA
rnacentral:tRNA from 1 species